rnacentral:rRNA from 1 species
AUUGAACGCUGGCGGCAUGCCUUACACAUGCAAGUCGAACGGUAACAGGUCUUCGGAUGCUGACGAGUGGCGAACGGGUGAGUAAUACAUCGGAACGUGCCCGAUCGUGGGGGAUAACGCAGCGAAAGCUGUGCUAAUACCGCAUACGAUCUACGGAUGAAAGCGGGGGAUCGCAAGACCUCGCGCGGACGGAGCGGCCGAUGGCAGAUUAGGUAGUUGGUGGGAUAAAAGCUUACCAAGCCGACGAUCUGUAGCUGGUCUGAGAGGACGACCAGCCACACUGGGACUGAGACACGGCCCAGACUCCUACGGGAGGCAGCAGUGGGGAAUUUUGGACAAUGGGCGCAAGCCUGAUCCAGCCAUGCCGCGUGCAGGAUGAAGGCCUUCGGUUGUAAACUGCUUUGUACGGACGAAAGUACUCUCUAAUAAGGGGACGAGUGACGGUACCGUAAGAAUAAGCACCGGCUAACUACGUGCCAGCAGCCGC